rnacentral:lncRNA from 1 species
GUAAUUAGACAUGAUAUGAUGCAUUUUAACUUAUCUGAGACAAGGUGGAAGUACCUUCCAUGGUAGACAAGAUUAGGGAAGCGAGACUGAGAUGAUUUGGAUAUGUGAAGAGGAGAUGUGCACAUGUCCCAAUGAGGAAGUGUGAAAGGUUGGCUAUGGUGGGUUUAAGAAGAGGUAGAGGUAGACCAAAGAAGUAUUAAGGAGAAGUGAUUAGACAUGACAUGACACAACACAUCGUUAGCUCAUUGAGGACAUGAGUGACUAGGCAUGACAUGAUGCAUUUUCAGCUUAUUUGAGACAAAGGUGGGAGUGUCCUUCGUGGUGGAAACCAUGAGGGAAGUGAGACCGAGAUAGUUUGGGUAUGUGAAAGGGACAACAACAACAAUAAAAAACCCAGUGUAUUCCCACAAAGUGGGGUCUGGGGAGGGUAAAAUGUACGCACUCCAUACCGCUACCUCCGAAUAAGUAGAAAGGCUAUUUCCGAUAGACCCUUGGCUCAAGAUAAAGAAUAGUAAACAAGAGCGUAAUGAAACAUGAAGAAGGAUGGAUGGAAUAACAUAAAUAAGGAAUAAGCCAUAAUAAAAUAAAAAUCAGAGCAAUACGAAAUAAGAUAAAUAAGCACAAUAUGAAAUUAGAGAUAAGAAAUAGGACAUCUGAAAUAGGACACCCACCUAGUAGCAACAUACACUCACGGACCAAAGACACCCACCAUACCCGAACCCCCCUGACUAGGGGCUCCUACCUAUGGACACAGUUCUAGGAUUACUAACCCGGCUAUACAUGAGCUCUUCUAACUGAAAGGGAGACGUGCAGAUAUCCCAGUGAGGAAGUGCAUAAGGUUGGCUAUGGUGGGUUUAAGGAGAGGUAUAGAUAGGUUUUAAAAGCAUUGGGGAGAGGUGAUUAGAUAUGAGAUGAAACACCUUUAGUUUAUUGAGGUGCAUGAGGUUGGCUAUGGUGGGAGCAUUGGGGAGUGGUGAUUAGAUAUGAGAUGAAACACCUUUAGUUUAUUGAGGACACGAGUAAUUAGACUUGACAUGAUGCAUCUUCAACUAAGGGAAGCGAGACUGAAAUGGUUCGGGUAUGUGAAAAGGAGACGUGCACAUGUCCCAAUGAGGAAGUGUUAGAGGUUGGCUAUGGUGGGUUUAAGUCUUUAAGAAGAGGUAGAGGUAGACCAAAGAAGUAUUUAGGAGAAGUGAUUAGACAUGAUUUGACACAUCUUACAGCUUACCAAGGAUAUGAACUUAUAUAGGAGGUUAUGGAGGUCGUGAAUUAUGGUAGAAAGUUAGUAAUUAGUCGAGUGUUGUCUCGCUUUCCUGCAGGAUAGACUUGGUGGUAGUUUGGUGCACCAUACCUAUUUCUCCAUUCAUACCAGCAGUAGUAUAUUAUUCUCGUAGUUUCUUGUCCUACGGUUUUUGUUACUCUCCCGUUAUUUUUUGUACUUCGAUAAUUGCAUUAGUUAGCUAUUGUUCAUCCUCUUUACUGCUGUAUUUUCUUUUCAAACUGCUUUGAUGUGCGUUACUUGAGCC